GAUGAACGCUCGCUACAGGCUUAACACAUGCAAGUCGCAGGGUAACAUGAGGAAAGCUUGCUUUCCUUGAUGACGACUGGCGCACGGGUGAGUAACGCGUAUCCAACCUUCCCAUAACUACGGGAUAACCCGUUGAAAGACGGCCUAAUACCGUAUGAUAUCGUUUGCUGACAUCAAAUAACGAUUAAAGGUUUAGCGGUUAUGGAUGGGGAUGCGUCUGAUUAGCUUGUUGGCGGGGUAACGGCCCACCAAGGCGACGAUCAGUAGGGGUUCUGAGAGGAAGGUCCCCCACAUUGGAACUGAGACACGGUCCAAACGCCUACGGGAGGCAGCAGUGAGGAAUAUUGGUCAAUGGGCGAGAGCCUGAACCAGCCAAGUAGCGUGCAGGACGACGGCCCUAUGGGUUGUAAACUGCUUUUAUGUGGGGAUAAAGUGCGUGACGUGUCAUGCAUUGCAGGUACCACAUGAAUAAGGACCGGCUAAUUCCGUG
rnacentral:rRNA from 1 species